GACCUUCUUGUCGAAUGCUUUCUUCACUCUCUGCUGAUAUAACUGACCACGCCACAUGGCAGUUAAUCUCUUAUUUUCGAUCAAAUUCACUUGGUCGUAACGACUCUGAAUCCAUUCAGCAUCAGUCAACUUGGGACUUUAAGGGUGCUAUUUCUCUUUCGUUUCUUUCUUUCUUUUUUUCCUUUUUGUUCUUUUGAUUUCGAUUUCUUUUGAUUUUGCACCCUCCUAUUUCUUUUUUCUUUUUUUGUUUUU
rnacentral:lncRNA from 1 species